GAUGAACGCUAGCGGGAGGCCUAACACAUGCAAGCCGAGCGGUAUUGUUUCUUCGGAAAUGAGAGAGCGGCGUACGGGUGCGGAACACGUGUGCAACCUGCCUUUAUCUGGGGGAUAGCCUUUCGAAAGGAAGAUUAAUACUCCAUAACAUAUUGAACGGCAUCGUUUGAUAUUGAAAGCUUCGGCGGAUAGAGAUGGGCACGCGCAAGAUUAGAUAGUUGGGGGGGUAACGGCGCACCAAGGCGAUGAUCUUUAGGGGGCCUGAGAGGGUGAUCCCCCACACUGGUACUGAGACACGGACCAGACUCCUACGGGAGGCAGCAGUGAGGAAUAUUGGUCAAUGGGUGCAAGCCUGAACCAGCCAUCCCGCGUGAAGGACGACUGCCCUAUGGGUUGUAAACUUCUUUUGUAUAGGGAUAAACCUACCCUCGUGAGGGUAGCUGAAGGUACUAUACGAAUAAGCACCGGCUAACUCCGUGCCAGCAGCCGCGGUAACAC
rnacentral:rRNA from 1 species